rnacentral:lncRNA from 1 species
AGAGUCAUGACCCACACAUGCAGCUGGAUUCCAAACAGUCUGCUGCAGCAGUCUCCGAGUUCAGGGAGCUGAAGUAGGAGAGCGAGCCCAGGCUCCGGAACACCCCUGGCCCGUUUCUCCUGCACUGCAGAACCUCCUCACAGCUUUCCUGGUCAUCAGACAGGUGCUGCCUGGAGGGCAGGGUCUACAUCAUUUUGCCUGCUGCACUGACCAGCCCAGGAAGACUUCCAAAACAUCUGUGGCUCCAACAAAUAAGCGAGUGAAUGAGAGAGAAGAGUAAGAGAAUUCUUCUUGGGAAAAAGAGUCCGCAUCUCUGAAGGCCUGGGAAAGCAUGAGGUGCCUCAGACAGCCUGUGCUGGCCUUGCAAGGUUUGACUUUCCUCCUCCAAAGCUCAUCAAGCCCACCGUGUGA